AAGUGAAACUACUCCUUGUAUUAGACUAGUUACCUUUCGUGGGAGCUUAUAAUUACCUUCAGAAAAUGACUCAGAUCCUGUGUUGGGGAAUAGUUGUUCAUAAUGUUGGUAUCCUCAGAAGACCUUUUGUGUACAUGUUAAUGUACAUUUUCCCCAGGAUUCUGACACUUGACAAGGCACACAUGACACAUAUCUGAAACUUGGCUCCAUUAACUUUGCCUCUUCUGGAGUUCUGGGUAUCUCAUUUUAGGAAGAACACAAAAUCUGGCAAGUGCAAAGAAGAAGGCAACCAGAUGAGGAAAGUGAGACUCAAGGAGAAUGAAUUGUCCAUCAUCAUAGAGCUGGUGAAGAGAGUGGAGCCUCUUGGGUUGUAUACCUGGAAAAAAAAAAUCUAUAAAGAAAAUUGUCAAUUCCAAUAUCACCAUGACAUUUUGUUUCAUCAAACACAGUUUAAUGGGAAACAGUGAAAACCUUUUCAAGAUUAACCAGUGGGAGAGAGUGGGGGGCAGACUCAAGAUGGCAGAGUGAAAGCAGUGACUUGCUUGAGCU